rfam:[Clostridium] straminisolvens JCM 21531 DNA, contig: contig00077.
CAGUCUCAAUCUGCUGGGGGCAUAUAAAAUGUAUAUGUGUAUCAAUUCCUCCCGGAGUUACAAUAAGUCCUUCUCCGGCAAUAACUUCGGUAGAGGCCCCGAUUAUUAAAUCCUCCAACACUCCGCUCAUUACUUUCGGAUUUCCCGCCUUCCCGAUUCCGGCUAUUUUUCCGUCUUUUAUACCUAUAUCUCCCUUUACAAUCCCCCAUGUGUCAAAGAUUAUGGCAUUGGUAAUUACCAGAUCCAAAACCUUGUCAUCUCUUGCCGCCGAAGGAGAUUGGCCCAUUCCGUCCCUUA